rnacentral:rRNA from 1 species
UACAGAGGGCUCAAGCGUUGUUCGGAUUCAUUGGGCGUAAAGGGUGCGUAGGUGGCGCCAUAAGUCAGGUGUGAAAUCUCGGGGCUCAACCCCGAAACUGCACUUGAUACUGUGGUGCUGGAGUACUGGAGAGGAGAUUGGAAUUUACGGUGUAGCAGUGAAAUGCGUAGAUAUCGUAAGGAAGACCAGUGGCGAAGGCGAAUCUCUGGACAGUUACUGACACUGAGGCACGAAGGCCAGGGGAGCAAACGGG